CAAAAUGUAGCUAAAUAGUAAAGCAUCUCUCUUACACCGAGAAGUCGUCCGUGCAAAUCGAACCAUUUUGA
rnacentral:tRNA from 1 species